GUGCCAGCAGCCGCGGUAAUACAGAGGGUGCAAGCGUUAAUCGGAGUUACUGGGCGUAAAGGGCGCGUAGGUUGUAUUGUAAGUUAGUUGUGAAAUCCCCGGGCUUAACCUGGGAAUUGCAACUAAGACUGUGAUACUAGAGUACUGUGGAGGGUAGUGGAAUUUCCGGUGUAGCGGUGAAAUGCGUAGAGAUCGGAAGGAACACCAGUGGCGAAGGCGGCUACAUGGACAGAUACUGACACUGAGGCGCGAGAGCGUGGGGAGCAAACAGGAUUAGAUACCCCGGUAGUCC
rnacentral:rRNA from 1 species